UACGUAGGGUGCGAGCGUUGUCCGGAAUUACUGGGCGUAAAGAGCUCGUAGGUGGUUUGUCGCGUUGUUCGUGAAAACUCACAGCUUAACUGUGGGCGUGCGGGCGAUACGGGCAGGCUGGAGGCAGGCAGGGGAGAACGGAAUUCCCGGUGUAGCGGUGAAAUGCGCAGAUAUCGGGAGGAACACCGGUGGCGAAGGCGGUUCUCUGGGCCUGUACUGACGCUGAGGAGCGAAAGCGUGGGGAGCGAACAGG
rnacentral:rRNA from 1 species